GCUCUCGUUUUCAAUAAUAGUCAUUGUUAUUCGGAGCUGACUUUAUCCUCUAACUGUAUCUUCCUGUUGUCUUUAAGAAUUUGUAUCUUGAAGGUAAUGAAAUAUCCAGUCAUCCAGAUACGCUGUUCACCAGCUUGUCAAACUCGGUGUGGUUAGAUCUCUGAAGUAAUCAAAUCACAUCCCUUCCUGUGGAAAUUAUUCUGCACAGAUGUCUGAAAAUGUUAGAAAGGAAUCCUAUCACAGAGCUUCCACUAAAAUUGGGAUGCUUGGACUUCAUUUCCUUUACUUGAAGAGUGAGUUGUAACUCUCAAGGCCCUGAGUCUGAGGCAUUGCCCCAUCACAUUUCCGCCUCAAGAGGUUGCGCAGCAGGGCCUCCACUGCAUCGGUUAGCGUGCAGAACUCUCUUCCAGGUGAAUGAUAACGAUAACUGUAGUGUCACCUGAUGAAGUUGGACAAUGCGACGGCAAGGGGUUUGUGUGGUCUGCACCCUUCUGAACACGUCCACCGCCGUCUGUUAUUAUGCAUAAGAAAGGAAGGCUGGCCACCAAAAUAGCUCCUUGCCCUGGUUCCACUUCAGCGGUGUGACUCUGUUUCCUUUUUAGAUGGCACGUACAGCAGGCAGACUUUUUAUGCAGCUCUACACAUUCAUAUUUUUAGCCAGAUGAAAAUGAUCGAUAACCCAUGUGCUUCUAACAGAGGCACUUUGUCAUCCACCACUGGCUAGUAGUGCCUAUGGCUAAUCAGCAUGACUAGCCAAGUCACCCCUCAGAAGAAAGCCUACACCUAGAACAAAGACAUGCCCCCGGUGGAGAAGCUACAAUUGACAGAGCUUGUGAAGUCCAGUUUGGACCUCUGUGAAGAGGUGGUGUAUGAAGACGAGCAGCAGAGGUUCAGAGAACUGAGGCAGAAGAUGAUCCAAAUGGACAGAGCUGAGUUUGGCUAUGGCCUCCCUCUUUCACGCUUCUCUAGAGCAGCAGAGGGCUGAUACACCCCCUGCCCGUCAUUAAAAGAAAGAAAGAGAUUACCAGUGGAAAUAUAUUUCCAGAGGUCCCUCCGUUUGACAUGCAGUACUGGAAGAGGUCAGAGGAGAGAAGACUGGCUGCAAUGAACAAAGUAGGAAAGAUCAAGAGCUCCUCAAGAAAUGGCGUACUCAUGCUAGGAUCAUGCAGGAGAGGAACAUCUUAGAGCACAAGCAAGAAAGGUGUGAGCGACAUAUGAGAGGGGAGACGUUGAAAAAGAUGGCUGUGCAGGCUGUGCAGACACUAAGCUGAAGCUGUCCAGGUUGGAGAUAGCGACAGGCCUAGCUAGCGAUGGAGCACUGUCAGUCAUCCUGCAGUCAGAUGUCGCCAGGGAGGCCCCCCCCACAGCAGGGUGGCCAGAGACAGGGAGUUGGAGCAGUGUAUCAGGAGCCAUGUUCAGAUGAUGAAGGAGGCCCAGGGGCACUGGCCAAGAG
rnacentral:lncRNA from 1 species